CGUGGGCAAUCUGCCCUUCACUCUGGGACAAGCCCUGGAAACGGGGUCUAAUACCGGAUAACACCUGCCCGGGCAUCCGGGUGGGUUAAAAGCUCCGGCGGUGAAGGAUGAGCCCGCGGCCUAUCAGCUUGUUGGUGAGGUAGUGGCUCACCAAGGCGACGACGGGUAGCCGGCCUGAGAGGGCGACCGGCCACACUGGGACUGAGACACGGCCCAGACUCCUACGGGAGGCAGCAGUGGGGAAUAUUGCACAAUGGGCGAAAGCCUGAUGCAGCGACGCCGCGUGAGGGAUGACGGCCUUCGGGUUGUAAACCUCUUUCAGCAGGGAAGAAGCGAAAGUGACGGUACCUGCAGAAGAAGCGCCGGCUAACUACGUGCCAGCAGCCGCGGUAAUACGUAGGGCGCAAGCGUUGUCCGGAAUUAUUGGGCGUAAAGAGCUCGUAGGCGGCUUGUCACGUCGGGUG
rnacentral:rRNA from 1 species